UGAGGAAUAUUGGUCAAUGGGUGCAAGCCUGAACCAGCCAUCCCGCGUGAAGGACGACUGCCCUAUGGGUUGUAAACUUCUUUUGUAUAGGGAUAAACCUACCCUCGUGAGGGUAGCUGAAGGUACUAUACGAAUAAGCACCGGCUAACUCCGUGCCAGCAGCCGCGGUAAUACGGAGGGUGCAAGCGUUAUCCGGAUUUAUUGGGUUUAAAGGGUCCGUAGGCGGACUUAUAAGUCAGUGGUGAAAGCCUGUCGCUUAACGAUAGAACUGCCAUUGAUACCGUAAGUCUUGAGUAUAUUUGAGGUAGCUGGAAUAAGUAGUGUAGCGGUGAAAUGCAUAGAUAUUACGUAGAACACCAAUUGCGAAGGCAGGUUACCAAGAUAUAACUGACGCUGAGGGACGAAAGCGUGGGGAGCGAACA
rnacentral:rRNA from 1 species